rnacentral:rRNA from 1 species
GACGAACGCUGGCGGCGUGCUUAACACAUGCAAGUCGAACGGAAAGGCCCUGCUUUUGUGGGGUGCUCGAGUGGCGAACGGGUGAGUAACACGUGAGUAACCUGCCCUUGACUUUGGGAUAACUUCAGGAAACUGGGGCUAAUACCGGAUAGGAGCUCCUGCUGCAUGGUGGGGGUUGGAAAGUUUCGGCGGUUGGGGAUGGACUCGCGGCUUAUCAGCUUGUUGGUGGGGUAGUGGCUUACCAAGGCUUUGACGGGUAGCCGGCCUGAGAGGGUGACCGGCCACAUUGGGACUGAGAUACGGCCCAGACUCCUACGGGAGGCAGCAGUGGGGAAUAUUGCACAAUGGGCGGAAGCCUGAUGCAGCAACGCCGCGUGCGGGAUGACGGCCUUCGGGUUGUAAACCGCUUUCGCCUGUGACGAAGCGUGAGUGACGGUAAUGGGUAAAGAAGCACCGGCUAACUACGUGCCAGCAGCCGCGGUGAUACGUAGGGUGCGAGCGUUGUCCGGAUUUAUUGGGCGUAAAGGGCUCGUAGGUGGUUGAUCGCGUCGGAAGUGUAAUCUUGGGGCUUAACCCUGAGCGUGCUUUCGAUACGGGUUGACUUGAGGAAGGUAGGGGAGAAUGGAAUUCCUGGUGGAGCGGUGGAAUGCGCAGAUAUCAGGAGGAACACCAGUGGCGAAGGCGGUUCUCUGGGCCUUUCCUGACGCUGAGGAGCGAAAGCGUGGGGAGCGAACAGGCUUAGAUACCCUGGUAGUCCACGCUGUAAACGGUGGGUACUAGGUGUGGGGUCCAUUCCACGGGUUCCGUGCCGUAGCUAACGCUUUAAGUACCCCGCCUGGGGAGUACGGCCGCAAGGCUAAAACUCAAAGGAAUUGACGGGGCCCCGCACAAGCGGCGGAGCAUGCGGAUUAAUUCGAUGCAACGCGUAGAACCUUACCUGGGUUUGACAUGGAUCGGGAGUGCUCAGAGAUGGGUGUGCCUCUUUUGGGGUCGGUUCACAGGUGGUGCAUGCCUGUCGUCAGCUCGUGUCGUGAGAUGUUGGGUUAAGUCCCGCAACGAGCGCAACCCUUGUUCACUGUUGCCAGCACGUUAUGGUGGGGACUCAGUGGAGACCGCCGGGGUCAACUCGGAGGAAGGUGGGGAUGACGUCAAGUCAUCAUGCCCCUUAUGUCCAGGGCUUCACGCAUGCUACAAUGGCUGGUACAGAGAGUGGCGAGCCUGUGAGGGUGAGCGAAUCUCGGAAAGCCGGUCUCAGUUCGGAUUGGGGUCUGCAACUCGACCUCAUGAAGUCGGAGUCGCUAAUAAUCGCAGAUCAGCAACGCUGCGGUGAAUACGUUCCCGGGGCU